GAUGAACGCUGGCGGCGUGCCUAAUACAUGCAAGUCGAGCGAACGGACGAGAAGCUUGCUUCUCUGAUGUUAGCGGCGGACGGGUGAGUAACACGUGGAUAACCUACCUAUAAGACUGGGAUAACUUCGGGAAACCGGAGCUAAUACCGGAUAAUAUUUUGAACCGCAUGGUUCAAAAGUGAAAGACGGUCUUGCUGUCACUUAUAGAUGGAUCCGCGCUGCAUUAGCUAGUUGGUAAGGUAACGGCUUACCAAGGCAACGAUGCAUAGCCGACCUGAGAGGGUGAUCGGACACACUGGAACUGAGACACGGUCCAGACUCCUACGGGAGGCAGCAGUAGGGAAUCUUCCGCAAUGGGCGAAAGCCUGACGGAGCAACGCCGAGUGAGUGAUGAAGGUCUUCGGAUCGUAAAACUCUGUUAUUAGGGAAGAACAUAUGUGUAAGUAACUGUGCACAUCUUGACGGUACCUAAUCAGAAAGCCACGGCUAACUACGUG
rnacentral:rRNA from 1 species